UCCGUUAACUUUAAUUAUCUUUAUAGUUAUUUUAUUUAAAUUUUAAUAACGGUUUGUCAUUAAAUUAUACUUAAAAAUAAUAAGAUCUAACUAAAAUAAAUCUUUGACUGACGUCAUACUUAACUAUUAGUUGGCACAAGUACUUCAGUUGGUAUUAGACACCAUUCGCUGUCAUGUGAGUUUCGUUCUGUGGGGCUUCUCGUCUAACGACAGGAAAUAUUGGACACUUCGCUUGGUACGCUAGAACGGAAAAGUGGCGGAUGGCUGAUUGAAAAGGACGGAAAUUUUAAUACAAUAGUUUCAAGCUUUUAUAAGUGAUAUUUAGUGGCAAAUUAUUGGUGGUGUUUUGGAGAAGCUAGGAGACUAAGUUUUGGGAGAUCCCGGAGGAAUUGGAAGUCAUGUCAUCCGCCACUUGGGGGAAAUCUUAAACUGUAACCAGUCCGUCAGCUCCCCUCACAACUGGGAGCAACCGUUCUACGCCAAGCCAGGUCAUUUGGAGACCAGCCUGGAGAACCUCCCACAUACCUACUUUGUAUCCUGCCCUCUGCACCCCAGAAGGGCAUCGGUAUAUUAAUUGGUACAAGCUAGCACCAUCCCUGUGCUAAUUCGCCUACCAGGGAUUUUGGAAUCCGUAGCAAGGACACUCUCGGGGACCAUAUAGGGU
rnacentral:lncRNA from 1 species